GAUUCUAAAACAAGUUUUUAUUGGUCCAUUUACAGAAAGUGCUGUAGUGACCAUUCAAAAGGAAAUCAGACCAAAGAGUCCAGAAAAAUAACAAAUAAAUAAAUAAAAAAAGGUUUUACACAUUGUACAAGAUUGUUUAUCUUUUUGUAAUCUUCUAUUUUUCACCCUUCUCCUCUUCUAAAAACGAACGGCAGACAACAUUAGGAAUCGGGUCGAUGCAAAGUCAUGUCCACCAAAAGGAAUCGUGGGGGUUUGGGUAGGGGGUGACCACACAAGAACAAAGUGUCACAGAGUAUAUGAGGUGGUGGAGGUGGAGGGGGGGGGGCACUCCUAAACAACACAUGGGAAUCUGCUGAGAGCAGACAAAGCUAUACACAAAGGACCUUCCUGCUACACCCAAGGAACAGCUAAACCUUUCAACAAAUGACCGCACUACGCCGUCGGUCACUCAAAGCCUCCAUUGUUGCCCAGCGGCGGAUUUGUUACCUGGUGAACAAUGAGCGGGACCUGCCUACGGAACAGCCUAAUCUCUUUAAGUAAUGCCCUUCUCGGACACGAAGACAGAGGAUUUUUGGAUUGGAUUCUUUUGGCGAUGUUGCUCAAUGCAGGCGCCAUCAAAUGUAGUUACAAAAAUGCAUUUCAACCAACACUCAGUUUACACAAACAAGGAAUUUGAUUCAAAGUGACCACCAAAAACUCAUAUGCACACAAAAGACCUGAGGGGGGGGGGGGAUUGAAUGGGUGGUGUCAGUGAGCUGUAAAAAGACUCGGGAUUGGUCAGGAUUUAGGGGGGGUGUCUGUACAUAUAAAGGGGGUGGAGUCACUAAAUGUAAAUGACGGGCUCGUUUCGGGGGCAGGGUCAGCCUACUAUACUCUACUCAAUAUUUACAUAAGAUGUGCAUAUAAAAUGUACAAGGAAUUAUCUCCCGUCUCACCAAAUCUGUCAAAAAAAAUAAAUUAAUAACAUGACAUCUACAAUAGCAUUGUAACCUUAAUCUUGCAUAGCCAGAUCUCCAUCUCGCAAACUCCGGCUGGGUCUUGGGAAACUUUCCACUCCAAAAUGUUUGGAUCACCACACCUCAGAAAUCCUGAGGAAGUCAUCCAAUGGGAAACACGUUUCAACUGGUUAACGUUGUGAAGUGGCCUCCUUAUAGGCUACCAUCAUGGGUUGCGCGUAUGAAGACUGCCAACAUUGUCUCGACCCCACACUACUCAUCCUUGCUGCUCGAAUUUCCCAAGACUUUGGAGAGUUUGCGAGUGGAUGUAUGGCUACAUGAGACUACAGCAACCUCUGUAUUAUUUUAUUUUACCUUGAGUGCCAUUGAAAAUACGUUGUAUCUUUAAAGUCACCUGGAUUUUCCAUUCAGGCCGGAAUAAGCACUAUUAAGUACCUAAAAAUAUAUAUAAAUCAAAAACAAACAUUUAGUCCUCCUUUUUGUCAGGGGACCAUGACACAUUAAUUUGAAAUAGCACAGGUCUUGUUUGGAGAAAACAAAACAAAAUGGGAACAAGCAAUGGGGUUGUUAAAUGUGUACUUCAUCCAAUGGUUGUGACAAAGACUGCUGGAAAAAGGACAUUUCAAGCAACCCUAAAGAGAGGCGUAAUCAUUUGGUUUGCUUUCCUUUUAGGAGUCAGAACGGUGAUGAAAUGGUUUGCCAAGCAGUGGUAUAUGUUAAUUGUAGCGCCGUUCGGCCAUUUUGACACGCCUCACUUCAAAUAACUGAACGAUUGGUGUAUGCGUGUGUCUGUGUGUGUAAAAUUGCAUUCAGAUAAGAUGCUGUGUGCGCUGUGCUACGCUCUAAACUAUUUUGUUCUAUGGCUUGCAUGGUUCACAAACAGCUAGCAAAGCCAAUGCUUGCAUGGCGGAGAGAUAAGCAGCCUUUUAACUCCUUCAACUCAGUGUCCUAUCUAAACGUCCCUUAGAGAGAGAGAGAGAGAGAGAGAGAGAGAGAGAGAGAGAGAGAGAGAGAGAGAGAGAGAGAGAGAGAGAGAGAGAGAGAGAGAGAGAGAG
ensembl:lncRNA